rnacentral:rRNA from 1 species
GACGAACGCUGGCGGCGUGCCUAAUACAUGCAAGUUGAGCGCUGAAGGUUGGUACUUGUACCAACUGGAUGAGCAGCGAACGGGUGAGUAACGCGUGGGGAAUCUGCCUUUGAGCGGGGGACAACAUUUGGAAACGAAUGCUAAUACCGCAUAAAAACUUUAAACACAAUUUUUAAGUUUGAAAGAUGCAAUUGCAUCACUCAAAGAUGAUCCCGCGUUGUAUUAGCUAGUUGGUGAGGUAAAGGCUCACCAAGGCGAUGAUACAUAGCCGACAUGAGAGGGUGAUCGGCCACAUUGGGACUGAGACACGGCUCAAACUCCUACGGGAGGCAGCAGUAGGGAAUCUUCGGCAAUGGACGAAAGUCUGACCGAGAAACGCCGCGGGAGUGAAGAAGGUUUUCGGAUCGGAAAACUCUGUUGGUAGAGAAGAACGUUGGUGAGAGUGGAAAGCUCAUCAAGUGACGGUAACUACCCAGAAAGGGACGGCUAACUACGUG